AUUGAACGCUGGCGGCAGGCUUAACACAUGCAAGUCGAGCGGUAACAUUUCUAGCUUGCUAGAAGAUGACGAGCGGCGGACGGGUGAGUAAUACUUAGGAAUCUACCUAGUAGUGGGGGAUAGCUCGGGGAAACUCGAAUUAAUACCGCAUACGACCUACGGGAGAAAGGGGGCAACUUGUUGCUCUCGCUAUUAGAUGAGCCUAAGUCGGAUUAGCUAGAUGGUGGGGUAAAGGCCUACCAUGGCGACGAUCUGUAGCUGGUCUGAGAGGAUGAUCAGCCACACCGGGACUGAGACACGGCCCGGACUCCUACGGGAGGCAGCAGUGGGGAAUAUUGGACAAUGGGGGAAACCCUGAUCCAGCCAUGCCGCGUGUGUGAAGAAGGCCUUUUGGUUGUAAAGCACUUUAAGCAGUGAAGAAGACUCUUCGGUUAAUACCCGGAGACGAUGACAUUAGCUGCAGAAUAAGCACCGGCUAACUCUGUGCC
rnacentral:rRNA from 1 species